CCUACGGGGGGCAGCAGUGAGAAAUAUUGGUCAAUGGGCUUACGCCUGAACCAGCCAAGUCGCGUGAGGGAAGACUGCCCUAUGGGUUGUAAACCUCUUUUGUCAGGGAGCAACGCCGGCUACGUGUAGCCGGCCUGAGAGUACCUGAAGAAAAAGCAUCGGCUAACUCCGUGCCAGCAGCCGCGGUAAUACGGAGGAUGCGAGCGUUAUCCGGAUUUAUUGGGUUUAAAGGGAGCGUAGGUGGAUUGUUAAGUCAGUUGUGAAAGUUUGCGGCUCAACCGUAAAAUUGCAGUUGAAACUGGCAGUCUUGAGUACAGUAGAGGUGGGCGGAAUUCGUGGUGUAGCGGUGAAAUGCUUAGAUAUCACGAAGAACUCCGAUUGCGAAGGCAGCUCACUGGACUGCAACUGACGCUGAGGCACGAAGGCCAGGGGAGCGAAAGGGAUUAGAUACCCGGGUAGUC
rnacentral:rRNA from 1 species